GUUGAAGGCCCGCCGCGCGCCCAUUGGUCGGCUGGCUUCAAGCCCCGGUUGGCUGGGCGGGCGGCGGAAUGGGGAGUGCUUAUUGGCCGAGGGGAGGGGCUCUGGGGUGGGGCUGGUGAGAGCGCGCCGCUGAUUGGGCCGGCCUGGUAAAGGCCUUCGGGCUCAGGCCGGCUGUGCGCGGGGAGGAUGGUGGGCGGAAGGAAGCUGCCGUAAUGGCGAGGUCCGCUGUCGGCGGGGCUCCGCGCUGAGCUGGACCGUGAAAACCACGUGGUUCACCUUCCGACGUGCGGAUUUGAAAACUGAAGCCCAGAGAGAGCGUGGAGCGUGUCCAAGGUCACACAGCCGAUCGCAGAAUCGGUUCAGGCGCGCCUAGUUGCCCUUGGAGCCCCUGUCAGGGGCCCUGUGCUGUUAACAAAGUUUCGCGGAGGCGCGUCCUUAGACCACUUAACAUAAUAAACCUUUAGUGUUAAGGCUUCAUUUACAAGAUGUGUAUAGAAUUGUAUAAAGAACGUGUGCGUUGACGAGCUGUAAGAACAUAACCUGCCAUCUCAGUAUCCGGAAGUCUGAACUACAGUCUGAGAUCUUCUUCCAAAAAAUAAAAAUAAAAAUGUUGCAUAUA